UACGUAGGGAGCAAGCGUUAUCCGGAUUUACUGGGUGUAAAGGGAGCGUAGACGGAAUUGCAAGUCUGAUGUGAAAGGCGGGGGCUCAACCCCCGGACUGCAUUGGAAACUGUAAAUCUUGAGUGCCGGAGAGGUAAGCGGAAUUCCUGGUGUAGCGGUGAAAUGCGUAGAUAUCAGGAGGAACACCAGUGGCGAAGGCGGCUUACUGGACGGUAACUGACGUUGAGGCUCGAAAGCGUGGGGAGCAAACAGG
rnacentral:rRNA from 1 species